rnacentral:rRNA from 1 species
UACGUAGGGUGCGAGCGUUGUCCGGAAUUAUUGGGCGUAAAGAGCUUGUAGGCGGUUUGUCGCGUCUGCUGUGAAAAUCCGGGGCUCAACCCCGGACUUGCAGUGGGUACGGGCAGACUAGAGUGUGGUAGGGGAGACUGGAAUUCCUGGUGUAGCGGUGAAAUGCGCAGAUAUCAGGAGGAACACCGGUGGCGAAGGCGGAUCUCUGGGCCUUACCUGACGCUCAGGUGCGAAAGCUAGGGGAGCGAACAGG